AUAUAAAGUAAGCUCAAUGUCCCUAAACCCUCAUCAAAACGUCAGGUCAAGGUGCAACUUAUAAAAUGGGAAGAGAUGGGCUACACUCUCUAACAUAGAACAAACGAAAAACUAACUGAAAACUAGUUUGAAGGCGGAUUUAGAAGUAAAAAGAGACCAGAAAACUCUUUUUAACUCGGCACUGGGGUGUGUACACACCGCCCGUCACCCUCUUCGUCAAUAUUAAAUAUAGUAUUUAACACAUUAAAACACAGUAGAAGAGGUAAGUCGUAACAUGGUAAGCAUACCGGAAGGUGUGCUUGGAAA
rnacentral:rRNA from 1 species